GACGAACGCUGGCGGCGUGCUUAACACAUGCAAGUCGAACGGAAAGGCCCUGCUUUUGUGGGGUGCUCGAGUGGCGAACGGGUGAGUAACACGCGAGUAACCUGUCCUUGACUUUGGGAUAACUUCAGGAAACUGGGGCUAAUACCGGAUAGGAGCUCCUGCUGCAUGGUGGGGGUUGGAAAGUUUCGGCGGUUGGGGAUGGACUCGCGGCUUAUCAGCUUGUUGGUGGGGUAGUGGCUUACCAAGGGUUUGACGGGUAGCCGGCCUGAGAGGGGGACCGGCCACAUUGGGACUGAGAUACGGCCCAGACUCGUACGGGAGGCAGCAGUGGGGAAUAUUGCACAAUGGGCGGAAGCCUGAUGCAGCAACGCCGCGUGCGGGAUGACGGCCUUCGGGUUGUAAACCGCUUUCGCCUGUGACGAAGCGUGAGUGACGGUAAUGGAUAAAGAAGCACCGGCUAACUACGUG
rnacentral:rRNA from 1 species